rnacentral:rRNA from 1 species
GAUGAACGCUGACAGAAUGCUUAACACAUGCAAGUCAACUUGAACUUCGGUUUGGGUGGCGGACGGGUGAGUAACGCGUAAAGAACUUUCCCACCAGAUAGGGCCAACUUUUGGAAAGGAAUGCUAAUACCUAAUCUUAGCUUAAUAUGGCUUCUUAUAUUAAUAAAAGCUUUAUGCGCUGUGAGAGGGCUUUGCGUCCCAUUAGCUAGUUGGAGAGGUAACGGCUCACCAAGGCGAUGAUGGGUAGCCGGCCUGAGAGGGUGAUCGGCCACAAGGGGACUGAGACACGGCCCUUACUCCUACGGGAGGCAGCAGUGGGGAAUAUUGGACAAUGGACCAAGAGUCUGAUCCAGCAAUUCUGUGUGCACGAUGAAGUUUUUCGGAAUGUAAAGUGCUUUCAGUUGGGAAGAAAAAAAUGACGGUACCAACAGAAGAAGUGACGGCUAAAUACGUG